CCUGGUCCUCCAUAGACGUUAGCCUACAUUAAGUAAACAGGCAAAUAGUGAAAUGUAUUGGCACUGCACUGUUUAUGUGUAUAUAACUAGCACAAAUGUAACUUUAAACACAAUGUUUAGGCUAAAUCGGGAACCGAUCUCUCUUUAUCUGAUUAACCCGUCUAGCGCCAACAUUCAUGUUUACUCAUACAGCGACUUCACUUUCAAAAUGAUUUCCGCAAACAAAAUCCCGAUGCCUAGUCUGAAAACUAACCUUGUGUGCGAAAUUUCAUUAGUCUUCUGUUACUCGCAUCACUUUCGUCGUUGAUUAAUUUGAAAGCUGCGCGCGGCACCGGACGCUUUUUCAGCAAGUGGUGAAAUGAGAUGUCAAUCAUCAUUAAACUGCCAAAUAAAAUGUGAGGUGGCACUCGGGGUGGCACCCAGGACACCCCUAUGGCUCCGCCUCUGGUGUGCAUGCCAGGCCAGCAAUGUUGUUGUGUUAAGAAACAUGACGUGCCUUGGCACAUUCACAUGCAUUGUUAAAAGCCAAGAGUGCUUUCUAAAUACCGUUGUUCGGUGUAUAUUUGUGUUUAAAGUCUGGCGAAUGUAAAUAGUGGGACUCCACUGGUCUUAUCGGUGCAGCAAAUCCACAUUUUGCUGGGUUAAUGUUAAUACAUAGGCAAGGAGCAAGAGUUCACAGUACCGGAAACCGCCAUAUUAUUUUGGCCGAUACUCAUACUACGCAUGCGCGUGACGUCAUUGUAUUCAGAAAGUUCCGUCUUGCUGUUUAGAUGUAAACGGAAAGAAGUUGCACUUUGUGCCCUGUUUUCAAAAGUUUGCGUUUUGCCAAAACGUAUAUAUUGCAUCUUUCAGAUGAAACCGUCUCGUUCAUAGGGCAUAUUCCCUCUUUUUGUUUUUGAUAAUAUUUGCCUUUUUUUUUACUAACACAGGAGAUCUGCAAACUUCCAGUACUUCAGAGAUUUUAUCAAGACUUGAUACUUUAGUCAGGUUGCAGAAUAACAGCUAAUAUUGUUGGACCAUUCUAUUCAGGGGAAAGAAGACUGGAACUUGGAUGUCCUGAUACCAAGCUUAAAGAUGAACAAAUUGAUAAAGAAACCCUCCUGCUGGACAUCCACUUCCAAAAGUGCACACCACACUGUUGUCUACAAACUCCUAGGAAAAGAAUCCUCUUCAGUCAGACUGCACCGUGGAUAUUUCAGGUUAAGCAGUACUGGAACCAAAAGAACUAAAGCUUUUAAAAAAAUGUAUGUGAAUAUAUAUGUUUAUAUGAAGAGGAAAGUUCUCGGACUAAUACAUUCCUUGCAAACUAUUUAUAUUUUCUUGUGCGACUUUAUUUAUAUGUUAAAAUCUAAACUUAUGUAAUUUAUUGAUGUUUAUUUUUUUUAAUAUGUACACUCUAAAAAAUGCUGGGUUAUUUGUUUAACCCAACAGCUGGGUUGAGCCUGUUGGGUCAUUUUGUUGGGUUAUUUUCUUAGUGUUGGGUCAUUUUUUGAGUAACCCAAACGCUGGGUUACCAGUCUGGUCCAAUUGAGUGACAGUUGAGAGAGUAAACCCCUCCCACUCCUCUACGCAUCAGACAAACUUUACCUUCGCGGGCAUUUUGAUCCACUUCAUCUCGGAAAGCUGUUAUUCGGAGAAUAAAAGGUUGCAGAAUAACAGCUAAUAUUAAUGGAUCAUUCUAUUCAAGAGAAUGUCAACUGGAACGUGGAUGUUUUCAUAACAGGCUUAAAGAUGAACAAAUUGAUAAAGAAACCCUCCUGCUGGACAUCCACUUCCAAAAGUGCACACCACACUGUUGUCUACAACUCCCAGGAAAAGAAUCCUCUUUAGUAAGACUGCUCCGUGGAUAUGUCAGGUUAAGCAGUGCUGAAACCGAAAGAACUAACACCAUUUAAAAUGUUUUGUGAGUUUAUAUGAAGAGGAAAGUUACGGUGUCCCUUUUUCACAUCCAUAACGCUUGUUUAUUUCUUUUUUUAUAGAAAACUUGUGCAUAGACUUAUAUUUUAACAUAUAAAUGCGGUUCUAUUAACAAGGGUUUAGUAAAAUACUUUUUAUAGCGUUUUGAAGUGUUAAGUUGUCUAACUAUUUAUAUUUACUUGUGCCACUUUAAUAACCUUGUUAAAUGUAUAUGUUAAAAUCUAAACUAAUGUAAUUUAUUGAAAUUAAUGUUCUUUAAAUAUGUAUAAACAUACAUUUCAUCAAAGUGUUUUAUAUGCCAUUUUAUUGUUCAUUGAGCAUAACAUAUUGCAUGUUUUUAUGAAUUCCUUUUGUCUUGCAUUUUGAUCCUUAAUAAAACUAUUGAUUCUUA